rnacentral:lncRNA from 1 species
GCAUUUUUUCUAGCAAAUCAACAGCACCAGCUGACAUAUUUGGGAACCUAGCUGAAAACUGUUGUUUCCUACACCGUGGAAGUUGUCUGACGUACCUACGGGCAUUAUCACUUCGGAGAAAUCCAAGACUAGCGUCAUCAGGUGAACCUAUCAACUUUUUUUAAAAAAGAAUUACAAUUUUAAGAACAUUAACGAACUGAAUUUUACUAAAUAAAUGACAGCAUUAAAAAGAAGGCCAGAGAGGCUGCUAAAAAUAUGCAAUAAGGUACACGAUAUAUAACCUAUGAAGACUUUGACACCAUCAGGGUCAUGCAUGGGCAGAGACAAUGCCUCUCUAGACUUAUAUUCGAUAGGAGACUAUGAGUCACUGAUGAGAAACAGCAACCAGAGAUGAAAUGCUCAAAAUGACUUUUAGGGAGAAAGAAGGAUGUAAAACAAAAUUUUAAAGCACGUCAGCCAUUGUUUUGCAUCUUGAAGCAAUAUCAUAGAUCACAUAAGGCCAUAGUGAGAUUACGUCGGCAGAAGUUGACUACCUC